rnacentral:rRNA from 1 species
AUUGAACGCUGGCGGCAGGCUUAACACAUGCAAGUCGAGCGGAGAUGAGGUGCUUGCACCUUAUCUUAGCGGCGGACGGGUGAGUAAUGCUUAGGAAUCUGCCUAUUAGUGGGGGACAACAUUCCGAAAGGAAUGCUAAUACCGCAUACGCCCUACGGGGGAAAGCAGGGGAUCUUCGGACCUUGCGCUAAUAGAUGAGCCUAAGUCGGAUUAGCUAGUUGGUGGGGUAAAGGCCUACCAAGGCGACGAUCUGUAGCGGGUCUGAGAGGAUGAUCCGCCACACUGGGACUGAGACACGGCCCAGACUCCUACGGGAGGCAGCAGUGGGGAAUAUUGGACAAUGGGCGGAAGCCUGAUCCAGCCAUGCCGCGUGUGUGAAGAAGGCCUUUUGGUCGUAAAGCACUUUAAGCGAGGAGGAGGCUACCUGGAUUAAUACUCUAGGAUAGUGGACGUUACUCGCAGAAUAAGCACCGGCUAACUCUGUGCCAGCAGCCGCUGUAAGAC